rfam:Aspergillus ruber CBS 135680 unplaced genomic scaffold scaffold00012, whole genome shotgun sequence.
GGCCGCUUAGCUCAAUGGUAGAGUGUUGCUCUCCUAUGAUCACAGAUUGUAUGGGCUCCAAGCAUUGGUUGCGGGUUCGAGUCCCGUGGUGGUCG